AGCGCAGGAAACGCUCAAAGUGUCAGAGACGUGCCGGCGCGCGAGACAACUUUUUUUUUUUUAUCCCGCUCUUCUUCUCUCUCCGCCAUCAUCACCUCUCUGUCAUCUCGCCCGGUUUUAUUAGGACCAAACGGACUUUCGGGGCCUCGGAACGACGGCGUGGAGUCCACAGCGACUGGUCGGAGAGGCCGAGAAUGCGAGACGAUAUAUAAUGUGCUGUUCCUGAAGUUUUUUUCUGACGAGAUCUGUUUGUGUCACCAUUUCGGGCGGUUAGAGCUGUAAUGAAGCCAGCUGCAGCGGGACACGGUAUCAGUGUGGCAUCAUCUCGCUGCCAGCAGAAUACAAACACGUGGUUGGGACUGACAGAAGUGUGAGGCAUCAUUUUGAUCUGCCAUGAAACCGGAGUAUCAGAUAUGGAGCCAAAGAAAGCACAGUGGCUGUUGUCAGUUGGAUUAAGGCCAGAUCCUGGAGUGCUCCAAGACAGAAAAGCAGUUUCUUGGUUGUGUGUCUGUGUAAUGUUUAAUGUGACCUGACAUGGCGAGAAUGUGCAUUUAACUAGCAGACAGGCCUUUUUAACAUAACCAUAGAACAUAGCUGGUUUUAGGGUUUUCCAUUAAGAUUUCAUUGCAUGCCUUUUAGAUGGAAAAAUAGUUUUUCUAUAAUAGUACAAAUGAACUGAGACUGAAUAAUUAAACUUGCACGCUUUUUUUAACAUGGCUACUAGUUUAUUAGUAUGGAUGAUGCUCCUGUGACCUGGACAUCGACUCUGCUGUCUCCUUGGAGGUCAAGGUUGUACCGCUUCACCAUCACGUCCACGUUUGCCUCGGCGAACAUUCAACGCUGUCGGUGAGUUUGAGCUAAACUGACAAAACCAUCGACCGUUGAUUGUACCCCAUGGCCAAACUCUGUCAACACUCCUGGACACGGGCUCAAAUAUCGAGAGACUGUCCUGGGACGUCGCCUUCCUCCUGUAAACCGCUUUUGAGUACUUGGGGCUCAGGGGGGAAAAAAAAAACCCUCUAUCAAAGGUCACAAUCAACAUUCAUUGCUGUCGGUGGGUUGCACUGUGAAGGAAAGCUCACUGAACAAUGAAUGCAACUGUGUCCCAGUCUUUCUCGUCCCACGUUAUCAAACUGAGAUGAUGAAAUCUUUUGCUAACUCGCGCUUAGUAUUGCUUGUAUCUCCACGUUAUGAAGAAUUGGACUGUAUCGCAAAGAAUAUCCGCAGGUACAGAACACUACCUGCAUUAAUGGGGAACAUGUGAGUAAAGAAUAUCUGCUUCCUUGUGUUUUAUUGCUUUAAUAAUUCACUACCAUACCACAGCCGGGUGUGUAGUUUAUAUCCAAGCAAAGCAAAGGUUUAUUCUCGCCAUUUUCCUGACUUUUUAUCAACCACAUACACACCUUAGAACCUUCAUGAAAUUCGUUUCCAUCUAUUGAAGCAAAUUGUUUAAUAUAUUUCACUGACCUUUUAUUUUUAACUUUUCUAAAAUUGAAAGCACGGAGGCACGAAUGUUUAAAGUGUUAGAUUAUGGCCCAAAGGAGUGUUUUGUUGGAAUUAUGCCCCAGGUUCUGUCUGCUUAAACAUUUUUUUUUUAGCUGGAGGCUAACCUGAAUGAGCAGAGGAGGCUUAGUGACCUCAAUAUUUAUCUGCUACAGUUUACACGAGCUUGAGAAAAUGUACUGGCCCUUUCUAGGCUAAACCGAGAUUACGUCUCGUUGCUGUUCGUUCACGAAACAUUAAUCCAAAUUAUAUUGGUAAAGUAGCUGAACUGCUUUAUUGUAUCAGUGUGUGGGUGAGAGUGCAGAGGAACCUCUGUAUUUUUUUUUUUUAUUUUUUUUUGGGGGGGGGGCGACUGUCAAUCAGUCAUCUGGAUUAAUUAACAUUAGAUUAGAGUUCAAUCCAAAUGCCAUAAUGGCUGCCAUCUUUAAUCUCUGUAGCUCUCGAUGUGUUUUUUGUCAUCUUGAGAUGCUUAGAAGAAACAAUACGGCUAUGUCAACGCAUAAAAGAGGAAACUGUUAUGUUCAUGCCAUUAAAAAGUAACAGUUGUAUUACAAGGGAAAAAAAGAAUAAAACGUGCAAAUGAAUUCAGCGUCAGUAAGCACUUUAUUCUAAUCAUGGUUGCAUUGGCUCUGCAGCCUAUCCCAGGAACAAUAGACAUGAGGCAGGAAUACACACUGGAUGGGACGCACGAGUCCAUUGCAUGCAUACAUACUUAUAAAUGCAUGCAUACAUACACGAUCACAUGGAAUAAGGUGAUGGUGCUCCAACAGUGAUUGAGAAGGAUGUUAUAGCUUCAAUAUGUCACACCAUGUAUAAAAAUAUACAGAAAUGUAUGAAACAGGCUGUGGAGCUGCUCUGUCCCUUUCUAAUUUGAUUUUGGGAUCUCUACUCAAAACAGUGUAUGUAUGUAUGUAUGUAUGUAUGUAUGUAUGUGUGUGUGUAUGUGUGUAUGUGUGUAUGUGUGUAUGUGUGUAUGUGUGUAUGUGUGUAUGUGUGUAUGUGUGUAUGUGUGUAUGUGUGUAUGUGUGUGUGUGUGUAUAAUUGUGAUAGCAGAUUGUAUAUUUUAUAUCACAUACCAUCACACACGAUCAAAACAUCUGUGAAAAUAUCCUUGAAAAUAAUGUCAGCUUGCUUUUUGUUUCUCUGCUAUUCAUCUCUAAGACAGAGCGAGAUCAAUCAUUGAUGAGUUGACCUGUAGUAACAUUAACCUACACUAACUACAGCAGUGUCAGAGGUCAAGAGUUUCAGUUAAUCACCAACAUCAGAAUGUAGAAAAAGUGUGGACUCCUUGUCUUUAACCGUGGCAUCGUUGUUGGUGUUGAUGGGCUGGUUUGAGUAUUUCAGAAACUACUAAUCUCUUGGGAAUUUCACACACACAACAGUCAAUAAGAGUUUACACAGAAUGGUGCGAAAAACUAAGAACUGUGGGUGGAAACACCUUGUUGGUUAGGUUAGAGGAAAAUGUCCAGAUUGCUUCAAGAUGACUUGAAUGCUAUAGCAACUCAAAUAAUCAUGGUUUGCAACUGUGGUGAGCAGAAAAGCAUUUCGGCAUGCACAAAACAUCAAGCCUUGCAGUGGAUGGGCUUCAACUGCAGAAGACCACAUCAGGCUCCACUCCUGUCAACCAAGAACAGGAAUCUGAGGCCAUCAUGGGCACAGGCUCACCCAAACUGGACAGUUGAGGAUUAGAAACUGAUUGAAAGACUGCAUAAAUGAGCAGGUGUACAGGAGUUCCUUUUAAGGAGACCGGUGAGUGUACAUGGGUUGUAUUUUGGCUCUUCUGAAGCUAGGAUUGUGCCAAACAAUUGGGACAUUGAGAUUGGGAUAACAUGCAAGUCUUAAUUAACUUACUCAAGUAAUGGUUUUCACGCAUCUGCCAGUGAGUCUCUUAGCAACACUGAGGGGGGAAAAAAGACGUCUUAGCAAGAUAAAGUAUGUUAUUUAGAGAUGCACCGACAUAUUGAGCGAUAAUCGGUAUCGGACGAUAAAGGCAGUUUUUCAUGCUAUGGGCCGAUAGUUUAGAAACAGUCAAUGAUCAGGACCGAUUGUAUCCUGUCAAUCAAAAGAGGGCAGGAAACACAUGGAUUUCGUGCUGUAUGUAAAGAUGAUGUCUCGUGUGGAAUGACGAAAAAAGUGCACUUUGUAAUCUCUGCACUGAUAAAAUUUUACAACGGACGCUGCAGCAGUGAAGCGGGAGUUUCAGCGUCGAGUCGAAAUUAUUUUCCCCCCCGUGAUGCUCGAGCUGAAUUAAAGCUCCAGUACACCGCUGAAAAAUUUAAAUGAAGGUGAGUUGACAAAAAAGUUUAUAUUGUACAGAAAAAUAUAUUUAUAGAGUAGUAUAUUUCAUAUCCAGUGAAUGUUAAUAUAUAAAAAGUUGAUAUUAUAUACGACCAGUUUGAUGUCGGUGAUGAAGUAGAAACGCUUGUGUGUGUGGAGAGUGAAUGUGAGACUAACAGGAGGAUUUUACACUUCAGUCAGUGUUAAUAUGAAUGAAUAACAUUCAAUAAGUUCAUAAUCUUACUUUAAUCUUCAGAAUUGACUUCAUGUGUUCAUGUUCAUUACAGUCAUGUGUUCAUGUUUAUGAGACCAGUUACUGUCAAACAACUUGCUGAAAUGGAGAGAAUAAAGUUUUUAUUUGCAUUUCUUUCAGAA